UACGGAGGGAGCUAGCGUUGUUCGGAAUUACUGGGCGUAAAGCGCGCGUAGGCGGCUUUGUAAGUUAGAGGUGAAAGCCCAGAGCUCAACUCUGGAAUUGCCUUUAAGACUGCAUCGCUUGAAUCGUGGAGAGGUUAGUGGAAUUCCGAGUGUAGAGGUGAAAUUCGUAGAUAUUCGGAAGAACACCAGUGGCGAAGGCGACUAACUGGACACGUAUUGACGCUGAGGUACGAAAGCGUGGGGAGCAAACAGG
rnacentral:rRNA from 1 species